GCCGACUUAGCUCAACGGUAGAGCAAUUGCUUCGUAAGCAAUAGGUUAUCGGUUCAAAUCCGUUAGUCGGCUCCA
rnacentral:tRNA from 1 species